UUUUCAGUAGUAACAUUUCCAGGAUCAAGUUCCGUCUUCCUGAUGGAUCCUCAAGCAUAGCACAGUUUUCUUCAAGUACCACGUUGGAAGAAGUAAGACAGCAUGUGAGACAGAACAUAAAUCUUCCUUUCUCCAAUUUCACCUUGACAUCAACUGUCCAUAAUAGACCAUUUACAUCAGAGGAUAAUGACAGGUCCCUUACUGACCUUGGCCUUGUACCAUCAGCCAUCUUAAUAAUUUUAUCACAGAGCAGUAUAGGAGGCAGCGGUAGUGUUGUUCCUUCCGGUGGGAUAGUAGACUUCUUCUGGAUUCUUCUUUCUCCCAUUACAUUCCUGCUUGGUUUAGUCCGGCAACUGUUUGGUGGAAAUUCAGCACCUCGUUCUCCAUCCACUUCUGGGAGUGAUGAACCUACAGCCAAAAGAGCAAGAGAAGAAGGACCGUCGUCUACCCAACAGAGACCCCAGACGGCAUAUGGUACGCGUGCUGAAGCACGAUUGCGUAGAGAAGGUAACAUUCACCGACUCCGCAAUAAUGAUGAUGAUGAUGAUGAAAAUAAUACAUGGAAUGGUAAUUCAACCCAGCAGAUGUGAAUGAAAAUUCGUUUUUAUUCACUGCAAGACAGGUUGUAUAAUAGUUCAUCAUUUAGUCAGUGAUAUUGAUGAUAUUGGGAUAAUUUUUGUGGUAUUUUCCACUUAUAUUAUAUAUUAUAUAUGCUAAACAAACACAUAUAGGCACAGCCAGAUACAGAUACAGACAGAUAUGGAAAUAUAUGGAUCAGACAGUUGUGUAGCACUUUGAAAAUCUUGAAAAUGUUCUCUUGGUGUGUGUGUGUGUGUGUGUGUGUGUGUGUGUGUGUGUGUGUGUGUGUGUGUGUGUGUGUGUGUGUGUGUGUGUGUGUGUGUGUGUGUGUGUGUGUGUGUGUGUGUGUGUGAUGUGUGUGUGAGUGAGUGUGAUGUGUGAUGUGAGUGUGGGAGUGUGAGUGAGAGUGUGUGUGUGGGAGGGGCUGUAACUGUGUGGUAUGUGCAUGAGUGAGUGAGCGUGCCUGCGUGCGUGUGUGUAUGCAUGCAUGCGUAGGUGUGUGUGUGUAAGUGUAUGUCUGUUUUUGUAUAUAUGAAUGUGUGGGCAUGUAUGCAUACAUGAUUGCAUAUAUUUUUGUUUCUUUGAGCAUGUUUUGUGUGCAUGAAUACAUGACUGCUUGUAGAUUUGUUUUUUACAUGUAUUUGUAAUGUAUAGUUAUACAUGCACACAGAUGAUAGAUGAAUAUAUAUGCACUUCUUGUGUGCACUUAUCUAUAUAUUUAAUCAUACUGGUGGCGAAGCGAAGAAUGGUGCCCAGUGUACGGCAGGUCAAGCACGUCUGUUAAGGAGAAGUAAUGUCCCUUGCAGGGGAUGGUAACCAAGGCUAUCAGAGGUCUGCCUUUCUUCUAUAUGUUCAAAAUAUCAAUCUGUCAGUGUGAAGAGCAUUGAAUUAGCUCUGACUAAUUUUCUGCUGUGUAGGGUCUUGCAGCACCAAACUUGAACUACUCCAAAAGACAGCAUUUUAGUAUGCAUUUUUUCAAUAGCCUGUCAAGCAAUAAAGUUUCUCUGAAUGGUAUGUAGGUACCUUAAGAAGAAUCUUUAGAGCCCUUUCCAAAUUGUUAACUUUUAUAAUGAUAGCCACUUAUUUAUAACCAAAUGUUAUCACCACCUUUAAUAUUCAUAGUUGAAGUGUGUAUUUUGUGACUAUAUCAUGUUUUUUAAUGAGUCAAUUAUGAUACCGGAUAUUUAUGUUUUGCUGACUCAUUAUAUUGCAUACAAAAAAAGAAUGUAAUGGAUUAAGAUACGGGCAAGAAACUAUUGCUUUGAAUAUUGUAUUUAUUAUUAGCCUUACAUAUGAGGUUCAGGAGAUACACUAGACUUUUGAUAAUGGAAAUGGAAACUAUUAUCAUGCAAAUGAGUAAAAUAUUUUUCAGUGGUACCAAAGCUUUUUGAUUAUAGCUAAAUUGUAUUAGGUGCUGUAUCAGUGUUGAAGAUUGAUAUGAAAAUGAUUGUUAUAAGAGAUUUCCUUUUCUCUUUUUUCAGUUCCCAAAAGGGAUUGUAUUGGAAAUAAUUUUCUUGGAUUUAAAACUUAUUUGUAUUGUGCAAUAUGAUUUUUCUGUUAAGUGCUAAGGAAUGCACAUGAAUAUUUAAUUUUCCACAAUAGUUUGUUAUUGAGAUGAAAAAUAUACUCAGAGGAAAUGUAA